CAUACUCUUCAUUUGCGUCAUACUUCUGUAGCUGUUUCUCUUCUCAUUAUCGAGUUCUAACAGUUUUAUCUCUCCAUGCUGCGCGACUAACUCUCCACCGUGGUCGCUGUAAGUUUCUCUGAACCACGAUUCACCCACCUUAGAGAGAGAAGAAGAAGAAGAGUGAAGCUAAGAAACAGGUGAUGAAACGACAUGUGAGAUCCUUAAAUUGGACAGCGAUGGUACGUAGCAUGAACUGGAACUUACCUGGCCAUGUGAAGGCUUCAGGAUCAAGCUCGUCCGAGAGAGAAACACAUGGAAAGAACCAUUCAUGAGAUCAAUACUGACUGGGUUGUGGUCACGCACCGUGCAGAAGAAAUCUGUGGGUGAAUGAUCGUGCAGGCAUCCGCUAUUCUAUUCCCACCUUUGAACCAUCAUCCAUCGAGGAUGAUCAACUCAGGGCAUUGCCACCAGUGGGCAUCUCCUAGGCCAAUAAAUGAUUCCAGAUUACAUGCAUGCAUGGCUCGAAGUUAGUUGAAUUUGCUAAAAUGGUGAGAAAACGCAAAAUCGAGUAAUUUUGAAUUCCAAUAAUUUAACAAACAUUCGUAAGAGAAAGAAUUUAAAUACUUCAAAAGACAAUCAUAAAGGUUCAACAAAUAAACCUACAAACGGAUUACGUAUAAACUUGUUUUGAUCCAAAUUUAAUUCUAACAUGCUCUCGAAAUCUCAUCCAACCUUAUGUCAUCCGUAGAAUUCUAUUGUAUUAAGAUGAUUUACAUUUCACACCACUCCACACGAGUGUCUCUCUGAAAUCAACCCGUGACAUGUAAAGACAGGAUUAUUUUAAGCGUUUAUUAAGCAUACGAUUACUAUUGUCUUAAUUUUGGAUAGUAAAAAUCAAGAAAAACAAACAAAACACAUAUAAAACAGUGAGGAAGCUAACUUAAAACAUCAACAACUUAAAAACGACAAACCAACAGUUGCGUUGCGGGUUGUCGGCGGCCGUCCACGGUAUUAUUUUUGUUGGCCGUCCAUGAUAAAAAGCAUUAACAAAAUGUGAUCUUCUCGUGGUGUGCAUGGUUCUCGUCGUGAAGAAGCUGAUGCACACCUAUGACAUUCUAGAUCGACACAGUUGUGUCUCGGUGUUCGUACUGAGUUUGUUCAUUGUUGGAGUCGCUGACUUGGAGCAGGACACCGUCCUGGGUCCAGCCGGUCACAUAAAGAGAAGGCUAAUAAUCCAUGCAAUGUACCGCUUGCUGUGGCGGUGACAGGCGAAGGGACUGACUCCGCCCGUGGUUUUCUCUGCGUCUCUUCGAGUCGCCGACUGCCAGAAAAAUAGCUUUCAAUCUUACUUCUCUCUCUUUCUCUCUCUCUCUCUCUCUCUCUCUCUCUCUCUCUCUGAGACUUGGAAUUGAUUGAGAAAAAAAUAUGUUCAUAUAAGCUUGAAUAGAGAUAUUAAAAAAAUUAAAUUAAAUAAAAAAUUAUGUUCUAUAGAGUUUAGAGAUGGAAAGAAAAUAAUAAUAAUAAUAAUAAUAAUAAUAAUAAUAAUAAUAAUUAAGUGUUCCAUACUGCAUACAACUUCUGGGUUUUGAAUCACCUGGCAACUCGUACCAGGGUUGAUGGGUUGGGCCUUUAACUUUGUCGAAUUCUAGUGGACCACUAGAAUUCAACAUACACAGAUGAACUUGAUCCGUAUAUAUUGACAUUUAAAAUAGAUAGAUAGAUGGUCGAUGGUAGUGGCAGUUGAGCUCCACCCUUCACCAAAUCCUUAAGGAGUUAGGUAGGUUCUUGUAUGACACUGUAUAUUCAUAUCUAUGAAAUGAAAAAGAAUCGUUUCAUAGUUGCUAGCUAAUAGUCAGAUUAUAUAUGUUAGGUUUGACUUACAAUCUCACAAGCUUAGAUUGAUAUAUGUUAGUUCGAUUUAGGGUUGUCAAUAUUUGAUUCCUAACAUCGUAGGAAAGUAGGGUGACAAGAUCAAACUGCAGCUUGAUCCUAAAAGCAAUCAACGCACAACACAUAAAUAGUGAAAGAUAUCGAAAGAAAUUGACCCAUUAACAAGCUUACCCCCUUUUUUUUUGGAUUGCUCCCUUUUCUAUCUUGAUAAGCCUUAUCCUGAUAGCAUUGAUGUGUGAUAGCUCUAUAGAAACCCCAACCCUCACUGUGGUCCGAUUUGGAUCCAAUGUGGUCCAAUUUGGUGGCGGCUUCAACAUUCUAUAAAUUGAAUGUUAUCCACUCCCCCACACGCUACUUCUCAUGGCCAAUGCCACUUUCACGGAGAAAACUUGCAUGCUCUCCUCACCUAAUCACUCUUUCCCUUGCAAGUACAAGCCCCAGAUCUUAUUUCGAUCACAUCUACUGGUUAGCAGUCACUAUAAUCGUUUGGUGGCCACAAAAGUGGCUUUUAGGUUCAUUCAUUUGGCCCCACAACUCUUUGUUCUCUACUUCCUUUUUCCACUACCAGAGGUGGAGUGGACCACAAUACUACUACUACUACUACCACCGCCACCGCCACCACCACUGAAAGAGUGCGUCACGGAAACCGUACCAAGAUGACUACGGAACCCCAAAAAGAGUCCCACUUCACCUACUCCUCCCUUUUGGUUCCUUGGGGGGCUUUGGUUGAUGCUUAUCGUUCCAAGGUAUUAGUGUGCUAGUUGGCUUCUAGAAACCUAUUUAUUUAGGGUAAGUAUGUUGUACUCUUGUGUCGAUAAAAGGUGUUUGCGUGACCAAAAAGGUCAAGGGGAGGAACAAGAGUCAAACCAGAGUAGGUGCAACAUUGAAUGAUAUGAUUGGCAUCGACCAUGCCCAAUUAGAGUGUAGUUUCUUCGUAUGAUUUUAGCGUUAGAUUUAGGUCUGUAUGUGGGCCCACCAUUUUAUGGAUCUCAUGCUUUGAGAUUCGUUCAGAGGUUUGGUGUCCCAGGUGGCACGCCAGGAGAGGUGUGGAUCCCACAUUAUGGAGGAAAGAGCUGUUUCCUGUUCGCGGAACAGCUAAAAUGAAGAAUGUAAAAUUAGAAGGGUUUUGCGUCGUACCUGCCGAGACGUACCC
rnacentral:lncRNA from 1 species